UAGACCAAAGAGAUGCAUGAG
rnacentral:siRNA from 1 species